CGGGGCAUAGCUCAACGGCAGAGCAGCCGCCUUAUAAGCGGUUUUAGCGCCAGAUUAGCGCAAGGUUCUGGGUUCGAAUCCCAGUGCCCCGACCA
rnacentral:tRNA from 1 species